GUUUUCCUUACCUUCACUGCAGAAACAGCCUGACUGACACCGGGAACAUGGCAAUCGAAAUAAGAGACUGCGUUCAAGUAGGGACAGGAGUUUAUGUGGCCAAAUGGCUGAAGGAGAAUCUGGAUGUGAGCUGAUUUCUCCCUCUUCUCCACGUGCAAGACUUAGGGCUCAUGCACAGGCAGGCUGGGGCAGCAUGGAUGCUCGGGCGAGCCAGGACUCCAGGAUCAGGUGAAGGAGGAUUCUCAUUCCAAUGCAACACCACAGAAAGCAGAGAUGUCCUGAAGCACCUAACCCUACCAUUUGCAAAACUAGUGCUUUAAGGGCGAGAACCCAGCAGUGUGGAGCCACUGCAGGAAGGACACAGCUUUCACCCAUCUGGCAGAAGAGGUGGCGGACAGUCCCCAGAUCCUUCAGCUGAUGCUGUUUUCUCCUCUCCUUCAAGUAAGUCAGCCUUCUUCCUCCCUGAGUUUUAAUGUAAACUGUAUGCCUUGCUCCAGUGUUUCUGUAGCUGUUAGCUAGAAUGAAUAGACAAAAAGAAUGAAAAACUUAGUUUUCUUAAUUUUGUGGUUGCUGGUUUUGAACAUUCAAAGAGCUGAG
rnacentral:lncRNA from 1 species